UCCAGUAUAGGUUUAGUUAGCGUUUUAUCGCGUAUUUGGGUUAUUUAACAAAAAAUAUGGUUAAGAGGUGUAGUCACAGACUUUGUAAUAGUGACGACAGGUAUCGUGAAAGGCUAGUUGGUGGAUUUCGAUUCGUACCCUUUCCAAAACCGAAGACCCAGUACGAAAAAUGCCUUCGAUGGAUCAAACUUUGUGGAAGACCGCAUCAUCAACUAAAUCCAUCUAAUAUCAACCGGAACACAUAUGUUUGCACGAAGGGUGCAAUUGCCUUCCGAGACCACACAUCGAUAAAAUCCUCCGAGUACAACGUCACUGAGUGGGAGCUGAACUCCCACAGCCUCCAUUUAAGUCAGGUACGAUGGGACGCCCCACUGGAUGGGUUUACCCCUGCACCUCAACUCCAGAGUGUCUCCAGCCUGUACACUUAUCGUCUCUUCCGCCUUGAUGAAUUUACCCCUGUUAAUCACCUUUGGGUGUCAGAUACGGAC